GCAUCACAUGGAAGGCAGGCAACGAACCUGUGCAUUCCAAGGUGUACUGCUUCAGCUGCUGCGCUGAUGCGCCAGCACGGGCAGCCAUGCAGCACUUAACCCAGUUUAACGGGUAUUACGGCUGUGGAUGGUGCUUGCAUCCUGGGGUUGCUGUGGAUGGAACGGUCAAGUAUCCUGUGGACACUAUUGCACCUGAUAGGACAGCAGAAGGCACAAAGAAGAUCAUGAUUGAGGCCGCUGAAGCUGGAAGACCGGUUCAGGGCGCAAAAGGCGUCACACCUUUGAUUGAUCUUCAUCACUUUAAUAUAAUCUGGGGCUUUACCCCAGAUUAUAUGCAUUGUGUGCUUCUAGGUGUGGUACGGCAGUUGACGGAUCACUGGCUCUCUGACAUAGGCGAGCGUUAUUACAUUGGGGCGCCACAAACAGCGGCGGCCAUAGAUGAGUGUGUGUACUCGAUAAAGCCUUAUAGUUGUGUGCCGCGACUUCCACGUUCAGUUACUAUGAGGAAGUAUUGGAAAGCCUCAGAGUGGCAACAAUGCCUUUUGUAUUUUUCACUGCCUUGCUUGAAGGGCAUACUUCCGCGGCAGUAUCUGAAGCAUUUUGCGUUGCUUGUGAAGGGUAUUUCCCUUCUUCUGCAGGACAAAGUGUCCCUUGUAGAUAUAUCUGCAAGGACGGACUGCCUGGUGCAGUUCGUAGUUGAUAUGCAGUUUAUAUAUGGAGAGAAGCGCAUGACAUUUAAUGUGCAUCAAUUGUUGCACAUUGCUCAGAGUGCUGUGCACCAAGGACCACUCUGGGCACAUUCUUGCUUUGCGUUUGAGUCCAAUAUUGGUC
rnacentral:lncRNA from 1 species